GUAGCUUGCUACUGGACCUAGCGGCGGACGGGUGAGUAAUACUUAGGAAUCUGCCUAUUAGUGGGGGACAACGUUCCGAAAGGAGCGCUAAUACCGCAUACGCCCUACGGGGGAAAGCAGGGGAUCUUCGGACCUUGCGCUAAUAGAUGAGCCUAAGUCGGAUUAGCUAGUUGGUGGGGUAAAGGCCUACCAAGGCGACGAUCUGUAGCGGGUUUGAGAGGAUGAUCCGCCACACUGGGACUGAGACACGGCCCAGACUCCUACGGGAGGCAGCAGUGGGGAAUAUUGGACAAUGGGCGCAAGCCUGAUCCAGCCAUGCCGCGUGUGUGAAGAAGGCCUUAUGGUUGUAAAGCACUUUAAGCGAGGAGGAGGCUUACCUAGCUAAUACCUAGGAUAAGUGGACGUUACUCGCAGAAUAAGCACCGGCUAACUCUGUGCCAGCAGCCGCGGUAAUACAGAGGGUGCAAGCGUUAAUCGGAAUUACUGGGCGUAAAGCGCGCGUAGGUGGCCAUUUAAGUCAAAUGUGAAAUCCCCGGGCUUAACUUGGGAAUUGCAUUCGAUACUGGAUGGCUAGAGUAUAGGAGAGGAAGGUA
rnacentral:rRNA from 1 species